CAGUUGGUAGAGCGGAGGACUGUAGU
rnacentral:piRNA from 3 species